UAACACUGUACAGACUGAGCG
rnacentral:misc_RNA from 1 species